rnacentral:lncRNA from 1 species
AGGGGGAAAAGGGGCGUGGCCUUAACACCAGUGCUAAUCACAUGACCCCUCCUUUUAACUCCAAAUAAGGGAAAAGGGGCGUGGCCUCAACACCCACCUCAAUCACAUGACCCCUCCUUUUAACCCCUAAUAAGGGAAAAGGGGCGUGGCCUUAACACCCCAUGUCAAUCACGUGACCCCUCCUAUAAACCCCAAAUAAGGGGAAAAGGGGCGUGGCCUCAACACCCACCUCAAUCACAUGACCUCUCCUUUUAACCCCUAAUAAGGAAAAAGGGGUGUGGCCUAACCACCCAAUCACAUGACCCCUCCUUCUAACCCCUAAUAAGGAAAAGGGGGCGUGGCCUAACCACCCAAUCAGGAACAGGGGGCGUGGCCAGAUGUGGGGAAAAGGGGGCGGGGAUUCAAUCCGACCAAUGGGAAGGCGCGAGGGGGGCGGGACCUUACCCGGUGGGCGGGGCCGCGCUGGGAGCACUGGGAGCCGCUGGAACCGUCGUACUGGUGUUACUGGUUAUACUGGGAGCUGCUGGGACUGUUGUACUGGUGUUACUGGGAGCACUGGGAGCCGCGGGAACGGUUGUACUGGUGUUACUGGUGAUACUGGGAGCCGCAGGUUUGAUGGUACUGGUGUUACUGGUGAUACUGGGAGCCAUGCUGGUCAUACUGGGACGAGCCGGACUGGUCAAACUGGUCACGCUGGUCGGACUCAGACUGGUCAAACUGGGACGAGUCGGACUGGUCAAACUGGUGGCGGUGGCCGGAGCUGGACUGGUCACGGUGGCCGGAGCUGGACUGGUCAAACUGGUCUGACUCGGACUGGUCAAACUGGUGGCGGUGGCCGGAGCU